rnacentral:snRNA from 1 species
GACCUGAUCGUAUGCGGAAAACGUAAUGAGAUUUAAAAAUUAUUUACAAUGUUUAAAUAGACUCAUUAAUCGAUUUUUUUGUGUAUUCAAUGGAUCGAUUGUUGUCCCAUCUCCCAUGUGUGGGAUAGGUGGUGUUUCUUCGGUAAUGGGAUUUUUUUUGAAUCCUAAACCAUAGUUAUGACGAUUGCUCUUUGAUUUAGUUCAUUGAGUAACCCAAUGGAGCU